CAGGCUUUGGCGUUUUUGGCAGUGUGGGCAGGUGCCAAGUCCUGCUGGAAAAUUAAGUCAGCAUCCCCAUAAAGCUUGUCUGCGGAAGGAAGCAUGAAGUGCUCCAAAAUCUCCUGGUAGAUGGCUGCGUUGACCCUGGACUUAAUGAAGCACAGUGGACCAACACCAGCAGAUGACAUGGCUCCCCAAAUCAACACAGACUGUGGAAUCUUCACACUGGACUUCAAG